CACCCGCAGUCCAAGUGGUGGUCGAUUUUAUUGGGCCUAAAGCGUCCGUAGCCGGUCUGGUAAAUGCCUGGGUAAAUCGUCUGGCUCAACCAGACGAAUUCCGGGUAGACUACCAGACUUGGGACCGGUUGAGGGAGAGGGUACUUCCGGGGUAGGAGUGAAAUCCUGUAACCCCUGAAGGACCACCAGUGGCGAAGGCGCUCUCCUAGAACGGGUCCGACGGUGAGGGACGAAAGCCAGGGGGAGCAAACCGGAUUAGAUACCCGGGUAGUCCUGGCCGUAAACGAUGCGGGCUUUGCAUUGGGGAUUCUACGAGGGUGCCCAGUGCCGAAGCGAAGGCGUUAAGCCCGCCGCCUGGGAAGUACGGUCGCAAGGCUGAAACUUAAAGGAAUUGGCGGGGGAGCACCGCAAUGGGAGGAGCGUGCGGUUU
rnacentral:rRNA from 1 species